GUGUAGAGUUUAUUUUACGAAAAUAUCUUAAAUAUUUUUUUGAUCUUCAAAAAUAAAAUUUUGGGCGUAAUAAAUCUGCAUUUGUUAAACUCUAAUAAGCAUGCAUUCUUAAUAAUGGGUGGUUUUGAAUUUCGCUGGCCUUUUCCAAAGCAGAAUCAACCUCAUCGAAUAUGGUCAAUUUGCAGUUAUCUUGUACUAAAAUUGGGAGUUAUUUACAGCAAAACCAUGUUAAACGUUUUUAAUUCUGUUACAAUUCACAAUCAAAAUAUAUUAGAAAAUGUUCUUGUAAAAAUUGGAACAAAACCAAUUAUUACAUUUAGUAAUCAUUAUUCCUGCAUGGAUGAUCCAGUUUUAUGGGGUAUGCUACCCUGGAAUAAAUUAUCUCCUCAUAAAAUAAGAUGGGCAUUAGGUGCAUAUGAUAUUCUUUUUACUACCUAUAGACAUCAAAUACUUUUUAGUCUGGGUAAAGUCAUUCCAAUAGUAAGAGGAGAUGGUGUUUACCAAAGAGGGGUUGACUUUUGCAUAGAACAAAUCAAUAAGAAUUCAUGGAUUCACAUUUUUCCUGAAGGUAGAGUGAAUACGGAAAAGGAAUACCUGCCAUUCAAAUGGGGUAUCGGUCGAAUAAUCUCCGAAUGCGAUAUCGUACCUAUAGUAUUACCCUUCUUUCAUCUAGGUAUGGAUAAAAUACUACCCAACAAACGUCCUUAUAUUCCGAGGAUUGGCCACGUAAAAAGUAAAUGUAUUUAUUGGUAAUCCUAUAAACCUCACCGAUCUGCUCAAUCAAUUAAAAUCCACGAAAAUUUCGCCGGUCGAAAUGCGUAAGCGGAUAACAGAUUACCUUCAAAAUGAGUUUUUUCAAUUCCGAAGACAAAUCGAAUCGAGUUUGAAAAAGGAAGAAUGAUCGACAUUCUCUGGACCUUUUAUCCCCCAAAAAAUAUUAAACUAUAUAUUAUUAUUUAUUUAUUUUUAUACAUUGCAAAAAAAUAUGUAUAUUAUAGUCCCCCCCCCCCCCCCAAA